rnacentral:rRNA from 1 species
UGGGGAAUAUUGCACAAUGGGCGAAAGCCUGAUGCAGCGACGCCGCGUGAGGGAUGACGGCCUUCGGGUUGUAAACCUCUUUCAGCAGGGAAGAAGCGAAAGUGACGGUACCUGCAGAAGAAGCGCCGGCUAACUACGUGCCAGCAGCCGCGGUAAUACGUAGGGCGCAAGCGUUGUCCGGAAUUAUUGGGCGUAAAGAGCUCGUAGGCGGUUAGUCGCGUCUGCUGUGAAAACUCGAGGCUCAACCUCGGGCUUGCAGUGGGUACGGGCUGACUAGAGUGCGGUAGGGGUGACUGGAAUUCCUGGUGUAGCGGUGGAAUGCGCAGAUAUCAGGAGGAACACCGAUGGCGAAGGCAGGUCACUGGGCCGCAACUGACGCUGAGGAGCGAAAGCAUGGGGAGCGAACAGGAUUAGAUACCCUGGUAGUCCAUGCCGUAAACGUUGGGCACUAGGUGUGGGGUCCAUUUCCACGGAUUCCGUGCCGCAGCAAACGCAUUAAGUGCCCCGCCUGGGGAGUACGGCCGCAAGGCUAAAACUUAAAUGAAUUGACGGGGUC